AAGGAACCUUUAAAUUCUGAAGAUGAUGUUAGUGAUGAUGAUACAUCAGAAGUAUUUGAAACAGAUAAUGUUGUUGUAUGCCAAUAUGAUAAGAUAUCUCGGAGCAGAAAUAGAUGGAAGUUUCACUUCAAGGAUGGAAUAAUGAACCUUUCUGGUAAAGAUUAUGUGUUCCAGAAAGCCCUUGGAGAUGCUGAGUGGUAAAUAAAAGAAACAAA